rnacentral:rRNA from 1 species
AGCGAACGUUAGCGGCAGGCCUAACACAUGCAAGUCGAGCGAGAAAGAGGACUUCGGUCCUCGAGUACAGCGGCGUACGGGUGAGUAACACGUGGGUAAUCUGCCCUUCGGUGGGGGACAACAACCCGAAAGGGUUGCUAAUACCGCAUUCGCCGGCAUGACCUGUGGAUUAUGCCGGGAAAGUGGGCCUCUACUUGUAAGCACACGCCGAAGGAGGAGCCCGCGUCCCAUCAGCUAGNGGUAGGGUAAUGGCCUACCAAGGCAAAGACGGGUAGCUGGUCUGAGAGGAUGACCAGCCACACUGGGACUGAGACACGGCCCAGACUCCUAC